GUGGGGAAUAUUGGACAAUGGGCGCAAGCCUGAUCCAGCCAUGCCGCGUGAGUGAUGAAGGCCCUAGGGUUGUAAAGCUCUUUCACCGGUGAAGAUAAUGACGGUAACCGGAGAAGAAGCCCCGGCUAACUUCGUGCCAGCAGCCGCGGUAAUACGAAGGGGGCUAGCGUUGUUCGGAAUUACUGGGCGUAAAGCGCACGUAGGCGGACAUUUAAGUCAGGGGUGAAAUCCCAGAGCUCAACUCUGGAACUGCCUUUGAUACUGGGUGUCUUGAGUAUGGAAGAGGUAAGUGGAAUUCCGAGUGUAGAGGUGAAAUUCGUAGAUAUUCGGAGGAACACCAGUGGCGAAGGCGGCCUGCUGGACAUUAACUGACGCUGAGGCGCGAAAGCGUGGGGAGCAAACAGGAUUAGAAACCCUUGUAGUCC
rnacentral:rRNA from 1 species